UACGUAGGGUGCAAGCGUUGUCCGGAAUUAUUGGGCGUAAAGAGCUCGUAGGCGGUUCGUCGCGUCGGCUGUGAAAUCCCGAGGCUCAACCUCGGGUCUGCAGUCGAUACGGGCGGACUGGAGUUCGGCAGGGGAGACUGGAAUUCCUGGUGUAGCUGUGAAAUGCGCAGAUAUCAGGAGGAACACCGGUGGCGAAGGCGGGUCUCUGGGCCGAUACUGACGCUGAGGAGCGAAAGCGUGGGGAGCGAACAGG
rnacentral:rRNA from 1 species